GGCCUUGACAUACUAGAACUUCCAGAGAUGGAUUGGUGCCUUCGGGAACUUAGAUACAGGUGCUGCAUGGCUGUCGUCAGCUCGUGUCGUGAGAUGUUGGGUUAAGUCCGCAACGAGCGCAACCCUUUUCCUUAUUUGCCAGCGGGUAAUGCCGGGAACUUUAAGGAUACUGCCAGUGACAAACUGGAGGAAGGCGGGGACGACGUCAAGUCAUCAUGGCCCUUACGGCCAGGGCUACACACGUGCUACAAUGGUCGGUACAAAGGGUUGCUACCUCGCGAGAGGAUGCUAAUCUCAAAAAAGCCGAUCGUAGUCCGGAUCGCAGUCUGCAACUCGACUGCGUGAAGUCGGAAUCGCUAGUAAUCGCGGAUCAGAAUGCCGCGGUGAAUACGUUCCCGGGCCUUGUACACACCGCCCGUCACACCAUGGGAGUUUGUUGCACCAGAAGUAGGUAGUCUAACCGCAAGGAGGACGCUUACCACGGUGUGGCCGAUGACUGGGGUGAAGUCGUAACAAGGUAGGCGUAGAUGA
rnacentral:rRNA from 1 species